ACAUGUGGUUUAUUCGAAGCACGCGAAGAACCUUACCUAGGCUUGACAUCCCACUGACCUCUCCCUAAUCGGAGAUUUCCCUUCGGGGACAGUGGUGACGGGUGGUGCGUGGUUGUCCUCAUCUCGUGUCGUGAGAUGUUGGGUUAACUCCCGCAACGAGCGCAACCCUUGCCUUUAUUUGCCAGCAUUAAGUUGGGCACUCUAGAGGGACUGCCGAGGAUAACUCGGAGGAAGGUGGGGAUGACGUCAAAUCAUCAUGCCCCUUAUGCUUAGGGCUACACACGUGCUACAAUGGGUGGUACAGAGGGUUGCCAAGCCGCGAGGUGGAGCUAAUCCCUUAAAGCCAUUCUCAGUUCGGAUUGUAGGCUGAAACUCGCCUACAUGAAGCUGGAGUUACUAGUAAUCGCAGAUCAGAAUGCUGCGGUGAAUGCGUUCCCGGGUCUUGUACACACCGCCCGUAA
rnacentral:rRNA from 1 species